UCUCGAGAGCGAGAGUCUGGGGUAAGCGAGACUAGCCCACUUUGCCUUCCUCCCUUAUUUUACCGGAUGCCGAAAUGUAAACAUCGGGCUCGGUGUUUAAUAUUUAACUUUCAUUUUAUCUUAUGUAUCAUGUGAGCAAAAACAACAAAAUAGGCAAAGGAGUUAAAAGGCACAAGCACUUUAAUGGACACAUUUUUUAACCUUGAAGAAUAGAUGAAGAAAAAUACAAACAGAAAGCAUGGAACAUUCUCUGAGAAACUGGAUUGGACUAUUUUUACUGGGCUCCAUCAACAAUUUACCCUAUGUCAUUGUCACCUCUGCAGCCAAAACCAUUGCAGACAGCUUUGGCAAAAAAAAUGAUGUGGGUUUGGUUUUUGGAGCCAAUGUAGCUUUGUCUGUGAUAGUUAAAGCCAUCAAUGGUCUAUUUCUUCUGAAAGUGCCCUAUUGGAUUAGGUAUGUGGUGAACGCUAUGCUGAUGAUAAUUGGUCUAAUAGGAGUUGCGUUUGCUUUUGACUUCUGGUUUGCCUUAGUUUGCAUUUGUGGCCCUCGGAUACCUCCGUCUUUUUCCCAGUAAAUGCGUCAAUGCCUGGUCCAGUGGGACGGGCAUGGCUGGGGUCCUAGGAUCAGCCAUUUACAUCAUCUUUGGUUGUUCGAUUGGAGAAAGCAAUGACAAAUCUCAGCUGAAAACUCUAACAAAGUAUGCUUUCCUUCUGACUCUGCCAGCAGUAGCAGUAUACCUGAUUGCAUAUUUUGUCAUCAUCAAAGCCCCGAAAACUGACGACACAUUCCACAGAGGGGAUCCAUCUAUCCAGAAACCCUUAAAUGAAGAGGAGAGGUCACUUUUACAUGGUUCUGAUGAAGGAGCUUUGACUGUGGAGUCGACAUUACAUCGGUUGCGUAGAUGUUGGGGACUUGUCUGGUGGCUCUCUCUAAAUCUGUGUGCAGUGUAUCUGUUUGAGUAUGUUGCUCAAGGCUGUGCUUCUAAAGUGCGACCGGCGUCUGAAUAUAACAAAGGCUGUCCUGAGCUGUUUGCAGCCCUUUCUUUUUGCUAUCAGGCCGGAGUGUUUGUGUCCAGGUCCUCAGUGCAAUUAUUCCAAAUCAAGAGAGUGGAGGUUUUAUCAGUGCUACAAUUUCUGAACAUGGUUCUGUGGAUAUUUGAUGUACAUUAUAAAUUUAUUCCUGUGUAUCUUUUACCGGCCUUAAUGAUAUAUGUGGGCCUGCUGGGCGGAGCCUCCUAUGUCAAUAUAUUUUAUCUACUUCUGCAUGAAGACAAGUACCCAGAGGAAGAUAGAGAAUUCUGUAUAAAUAUCGUAUCACUCUUCAUUACUGGAGGUAUUGUUCUUGGGACAGCUUUAGAAACAGUGCUUUUUAACACAGUGUUGGAAAGUGACUAACAGAGAAACUAGCUGGUGCAAUGUUAACCAUCCUCCCGUUUCUUUCAUUACCUCAACUCUCCAGUGUUGAAAUAUUAACAAUACUCACUCCUUACGACAAUUGUAAGAUAAUUUGUCGAUUGUAAAUUUAUUGUGUCAUCAUUGAAUUUAUACGUUUGUCAAUUUUUAAUUGAUUAUUAGAUAUUAUAUAUUAAUUUUAUACAUGUAUUACAAAUUACAAUACUAUUAUAUGUACAUGUUAUACAACUCAAUACUGAUUAAUGUUU
rnacentral:misc_RNA from 1 species